UGGGGAAUAUUGCACAAUGGGCGAAAGCCUGAUGCAGCAACGCCGCGUGAGCGAUGAAGGCCUUGGGUCGUAAAGCUCUGUCCUCAAGGAAGAUAAUGACGGUACUUGAGGAGGAGCCCGGCUAACUACGUGCC
rnacentral:rRNA from 1 species